CCUACGGGAGUCAGCAGUGGGGAAUAUUGCACAAUGGGGGCAACCCUGAUGCAGCAACGCCGCGUGAAGGAAGACGGCUUUCGGAUUGUAAACUUCUGUUUUUAGUGAAGAAUAAUGACGGUAGCUAAGCAGCAAGCCACGGCUAACUACGUGCCAGCAGCCGCGGUAAUACGGAGGUGGCAAGCGUUGUCCGGAAUUACUGGGUGUAAAGGGAGCGCAGGCGGGAAGCCAAGUCAGCUGUGAAAGCUACGGGCUUAACUUGUAGAUUGCAGUUGAAACUGGUUUUCUUGAGUGAAGUAGAGGUUGGCGGAAUUCGGGGUGUAGCGGUGAAAUGCUUAGAUAUUCGGAAGAACACCGAUGGCGAAGGCAGCCAACUAAGCUGUAACUGACACUGAGGCUCGAAAGUGUGGGGAGCAAACAGGAUUAGAUACCCCUGUAGUC
rnacentral:rRNA from 1 species